rnacentral:rRNA from 1 species
UACGUAGGGACCGAGCGUUGUCCGGAAUCAUUGGGCGUAAAGAGCGUGUAGGCGGCCACUUAAGUCCUGCGUGAAAUCUUGCGGCUCAACCGCAAGCGGUCGUGGGAAACUGGGUGGCUAGAGUGCGGGAGAGGAGAGUGGAAUUCCUGGUGUAGCGGUGGAAUGCGCAGAUAUCAGGAAGAACACCCGUGGCGAAGGCGGCUCUCUGGAACGCAACUGACGCUGAGACGCGAAAGCUAGGGGAGCGAACGGG